UACAGAGGGGGCAAGCGUUGUUCGGAAUUACUGGGCGUAAAGGGCGCGUAGGCGGCCUUCUAAGUCGAACGUGAAAUCCCCGGGCUCAACCCUGAAACUGCACUCGAUACUGCUCUGCUUGAGGACUGGAGAGGAGACUGGAAUUCACGGUGUAGCAGUGAAAUGCGUAGAUAUCGUGAGGAAGACCAGUGGCGAAGGCGGGUCUCUGGACAGUUCCUGACGCUGAGGCGCGAAGGCCAGGGGAGCAAACGGG
rnacentral:rRNA from 1 species